AUGAAGCGUGACCAAGGCUUUGGCCUAGGCGAGCGCCCCCGGGGGCGUUUCCUUACAUAUUUAUUAUUGAGUACCGUUAAGUUUCGGCAUUUUUGACCGCUGGUUUCGCUUGACUUCUUCGUCCGCCUGAGGGCGCAAACUCUCGCUAACGCUGCGCUAAUUCCGGGGGCAUAGCGGUGUAGUUGCUGGGAAAGCAGUUUUGUAUCCGCCUAUAUAAACAUGUUUAUAACAUCUUUUUUUCAUUAAAACGGUUUCGCAUUAUUUAUUCAACAAAAUUGAUUAACAAUGCAAUCAGUUUUAGUGCAGGGAUUUUUUACUUCUCUCGUGUUGGCUUGAUCAGUUGCAUAUGUGUCGGGAAGCGCCACAAACUCCUCAGGAUUUCGCAAACUGCAGAGUCCGGCUCCACACAGCCAGCAGCCGUGGAAAACGCCCAGCGUGGGAUGUCAGCACCAUGUGAACCAUCGUGUCAUAAAGGGAGCGAUUCCUGCCCUCCUGGAAGGAAGCACACGGGCAGUCGGACGCUGGCCCUGGACCGAAAAACCUGGAGCAGGGAAGCGCAGCCGGAAAGUUGGACAAGCGUAUGAUGCAAGAAGCGUGGCAGCGGGAGGCUGGGGGAGUAGCGACUGUCUAAGACAGGAACGCGGGUUCAAGAAAGCCAUGGUGUCAGUCGAUGCCCUGAGAGCGUUC